rnacentral:rRNA from 1 species
UACGUAGGGUGCGAGCGUUGUCCGGAAUUAUUGGGCGUAAAGAGCUCGUAGGCGGUGUGUCACGUCGGCCGUGAAAACCUGCAGCUUAACUGUGGGCGUGCGGUCGAUACGGGCAUCACUGGAGUUCGGCAGGGGAGACUGGAAUUCCUGGUGUAGCGGUGAAAUGCGCAGAUAUCAGGAGGAACACCAGUGGCGAAGGCGGGUCUCUGGACAGUUCCUGACACUGAGACACGAAGGCCAGGGGAGCAAACGGG